rnacentral:lncRNA from 1 species
CAAUGCUCCCGUCGUUGCCCGCUUCGAUGGCGUCGAUGCCGGCGAAAAGAAGGGCGCUAGCGCCGGAGGGGGUGCUCAAGUGCAAGAUGUCUAGUAAGCGGUUCCGGUCGUUCUAGGCGCUAGGCGGGCACCAGAUGAGCCACUCGCGGCUGCAUGCAAGAUGCUGAAUGACACCAUGUGGCGUCGGCCGUUGCCGCCAAGCUGGACAGGGUAAGCGCUUGGCAAUGUUCCAGCAGCCGUCAGUGCAGUGGCGGCGCUCUAGGAGCUGUCGGCAGCGGCGGCCAUGCUGGGUGAGUUUAUCUAGUGACUUUGUUCAUCCUCGAUUAUCGCUGGUGGCUGCACACAGGUUGAUGCUCCAGUGUCAGCAAAGGUGAUGUUUGUGAAGAUUCUUAACCCUGAGUUAUACAAAUUGACUUAGGUUUAUUUUGUAGUUUGUCGUGGUCUGUUGUAGAAGGUAUAAUUGUGUGUAAUCUUUUCUUUCCGUAGUUGUUCAGUGCUCUAGAGAGCUGUCAGCAGAAGAUGAAGAGGAUGAACAGAAGAUAAAAACGAUGUAGGAAUAUAUAGCAUCUGGGGUUAAGAGAAACCGUUCCGGCGAGAUUAUAUUUAGUACCGAUCGUACCCUCCUCGAUUUAACGGCCAGAUUACUUUUGGUACCUGGUGCUACCUGUACCUGGUGGUACCGGCUGCUGGACAGGAGUAAAGCUCAAGAUUAAAUGUGAUGUUUUUGAAAACUAAACAGAAUCUAAGAUAUACUCUCUCUGUUUCACAAUGUAAAACUUUCAGCCUUAACUUGAUUCAUAUGGAUGUUAAUUAAUCUAG